UGGGGAAUAUUGGACAAUGGGGGCAACCCUGAUCCAGCCAUGCCGCGUGAGUGAUGAAGGCCUUAGGGUUGUAAAGCUCUUUUACCAGGGAUGAUAAUGACAGUACCUGGAGAAUAAGCUCCGGCUAACUCCGUGCCAGCAGCCGCGGUAAUACGGAGGGAGCUAGCGUUGUUCGGAAUUACUGGGCGUAAAGCGCGCGUAGGCGGCUUUUCAAGUCAGAGGUGAAAUCCCGGGGCUUAACCCCGGAACUGCCUUUGAAACUGGAAAGCUAGAAUCCUGGAGAGGUGAGUGGAAUUCCGAGUGUAGAGGUGAAAUUCGUAGAUAUUCGGAAGAACACCAGUGGCGAAGGCGACUCACUGGACAGGUAUUGACGCUGAGGUGCGAAAGCGUGGGGAGCAAACAGGAUUAGAUACCCGCGUAGUCC
rnacentral:rRNA from 1 species